rnacentral:rRNA from 1 species
UACAGAGGUCCCAAGCGUUGUUCGGAUUCACUGGGCGUAAAGGGCGUGUAGGCGGUUCGGUAAGUGGGAUGUGAAAUGCCCGGGCUCACCCCGGGACCUGCAUCUCAUACUGCUGAGCUUGAGUACAGGAGAGGGUGGGGGAAUUCCUGGUGUAGCGGUGAAAUGCGUAGAUAUCAGGAGGAACACCGGUGGCGAAGGCGCCCACCUGGCCUGCUACUGACGCUGAUGCUCGAAAGCUAGGGGAGCAAACGGG